rnacentral:rRNA from 1 species
UACAGAGGGUGCGAGCGUUGUCCGGAAUCACUGGGCGUAAAGGGCGCGUAGGUGGCGACCCAAGUCUGUGGUGAAAGCUCGACGCUCAACGUCGAGUCGGCCAUAGAUACUGGGUUGCUUGAGCACUGUAGAGGCAGAUGGAAUUCCGGGUGUAGCGGUGGAAUGCGUAGAGAUCGGGAAGAACAUCAGUGGCGAAGGCGGCCUGCUGGGCUGUUGCUGACGCUGAGGCGCGACAGCGUGGGGAGCAAACAGG